CUGGUUCUUGAAUACUUUCUUAGACUUGCUCUGUUUACUGGCGGUGUUCUAUUUGGAGUAUGCAUUUGUUUUCCCCUUGUUGACAUUGGUGUGACCGAUUCAUGGUUAUCGUAAUCAGAAAGUAGGCGUCUGAAAUUGUUGUUUAGAGGUGUUGGACUUGGUUUGUGCUCUGAAAUUGCCCUUGUUGGUGUGAUCGAUUCAUGAUUGUUGUACUCCGAGAGUAUGUGUCUCAAAUUGUUGUUUAGAGGCGUUGGACUUGGUUUGUGCUCCGAAAUUGCUCUUGGUGGUGUUAGGUUGAUAUCUUUCACAGUAGGUUGGCCCUUGUAUGCAUUUUCAGAAGGUAGCUGGCGUUCCAACCAAUUCCACCACAAUCCACUAGAUCCCAUGUCCAGAGCU
rnacentral:lncRNA from 1 species